AGGGCACCACCAGGAGUGGAGCCUGCGGCUUAAUUUGACUCAACGCGGGAAAACUCACCCGGCCCGGACACCGUAAGGAUUGACAGAUUGAGAGCUCUUUCUUGAUUCGGUGGGUGGUGGUGCAUGGCCGUUCUUAGUUGGUGGAGCGAUUUGUCUGGUUAAUUCCGAUAACGAACGAGACUCUAGCCUGCUAAAUAGGCAGCGGAUUCUUAGUCCGCUGUACUUCUUAGAGGGACAAGCAGCGUCUAGCUGCACGAGAUUGAGCAAUAACAGGUCUGUGAUGCCCUUAGAUGUUCGGGGCUGCACGCGCGCUACACUGAAGGAAUCAACAUGCUUCUCAACCUUGCCCGGAAGGGCUAGGUAACCCGUUGAAACUCCUUCGUGAUUGGGAUAGGGAAUUGCAAUUAUUUCCCUUGAACGAGGAAUUCCCAGUAAGUGCGGGUCAUCAGCUCGCGCUGAUUACGUCCCUGCCCUUUGUACACACCGCCCGUCGCUACUACCGAUUGGAAGUAGACGAGA
rnacentral:rRNA from 1 species